rnacentral:rRNA from 1 species
UACGUAGGGUGCAAGCGUUGUCCGGAAUUAUUGGGCGUAAAGAGCUCGUAGGCGGCCUGUCGCGUCGGCUGUGAAAACUCAGGGCUCAACCCUGAGCCUGCAGUCGAUACGGGCAGGCUAGAGUCCGGCAGGGGAGACUGGAAUUCCUGGUGUAGCGGUGAAAUGCGCAGAUAUCAGGAGGAACACCGGUGGCGAAGGCGGCAUCCUGGACCAAUUCUGACGCUGAGGAGCGAAAGCCAGGGGAGCAAACGGG